GCAGACGCUGAUGGAGAUCUCAACUGCGUAUAUGCAGUUCGAACCGAUUUCAGCGAUGAACCACUGCAGGCAACUUACGUUUUACUAGUGAACGGCAUUGGAGGGCGCCAACCACGCAACAUUACUUAUCACAUCAAGCCUGGACCGUCCCCCGAUGUAACGUUGUUUACUAUUGACGACGACUAUGACAACGUGCAUGAAUGCCAUUUUGACUACACAGACUACAAGAACUGCGUCAUCUUGGAAUUUCUAUUCGUAGGUGGGCAAGG
rnacentral:lncRNA from 1 species